ACACAUGCAGUCGAGCGGAUGAAGGAGCUUGCUCCUGGAUUCAGCGGCGGACGGGUGAGCAAUGCCUAGGAAUCUGCCUGGUAGUGGGGGACAACGUUUCGAAAGGAACGCUAAUACCGCAUACGUCCUACGGGAGAAAGCAGGGGACCUUCGGGCCUUGCGCUAUCAGAUGAGCCUAGGUCGGAUUAGCUAGUUGGUGAGGUAAUGGCUCACCAAGGCGACGAUCCGUAACUGGUCUGAGAGGAUGAUCAGUCACACUGGAACUGAGACACGGUCCAGACUCCUACGGGAGGCAGCAGUGGGGAAUAUUGGACAAUGGGCGAAAGCCUGAUCCAGCCAUGCCGCGUGUGUGAAGAAGGUCUUCGGAUUGUAAAGCACUUUAAGUUGGGAGGAAGGGUUGUAGAUUAAUACUCUGCAAUUUUGACGUUACCGACAGAAUAAGCACCGGCUAACUCUGUGCCAGCAGCCGCGGUAAUACAGAGGGUGCAAGCGUUAUCGGAAUUACUGGGCGUAAAGCGCGCGUAGGUGGUUUGUUAAGUUGGAUGUGAAAUCCCCGGGCUCAACCUGGGAACUGCAUCCAAAACUGGCAAGCUAGAGUAUGGUAGAGGGUGGUGGAAUUUCCUGUGUAGCGGUGAAAUGCGUAGAUAUAGGAAGGAACACCAGUGGCGAAGGCGACCACCUGGACUGAUACUGACACUGAGGUGCGAAAGCGUGGGAGCAAACAGGAUUAGAUACCCUGGUAGUCCACGCCGUAAACGAUGUCAACUAGCCGUUGGGAGCCUUGAGCUCUUAGUGGCGCAGCUAACGCAUUAAGUUGACCGCCUGGGAGUACGGCCGCAAGGUUAAAACUCAAUGAAUUGACGGGGCCCGCACAAGCGGUGGAGCAUGUGGUUAAUUCGAAGCAACGCGAAGAACCUUACCAGCCUUGACAUCCAGUGAACUUUCCAGAGAUGGAUUGGUGCCUUCGGGAACAUUGAGACAGUGCUGCAUGCUGUCGUCAGCCUCUGUCUUGAGAUGUUGGGUUAGUCCCGGUAACGGCGCACCUUGUCCUUA
rnacentral:rRNA from 1 species